CGGGAAGAGCUCAAAUUUAUAAUCUGGCACCUUCGGUGUCCGAGUUGUAAUCUCUAGAAAUGUUUUCCGCGUUGGACCGCACACAAGUCUGUUGGAAUACAGCGGCAUAGUGGUGAGACCCCCGUAUAUGGUGCGGACGCCCAGCGCUUUGUGAUACAUUUUCGAAGAGUCGAGUUGUUUGGGAAUGCAGCUCAAAUUGGGUGGUAAAUUCCAUCUAAAGCUAAAUAUUGGCGAGAGACCGAUAGCGAACAAGUACCGUGAGGGAAAGAUGAAAAGCACUUUGGAAAGAGAGUUAACAGUACGUGAAAUUGUUGGAAGGGAAACGCUUGAAGUCAGACUUGCUUGCCGAGCAAUCGGUUUGCAGGCCAGCAUCAGUUUUCCGGGAUGGAUAAUGGUAGAGAGAAGGUAGCAGUUUCGGCUGUGUUAUAGCUCUCUGCUGGAUACAUCUUGGGGGACUGAGGAACGCAGUGUGCCUUUGGCGGGGGUUCGCCUCUCACAC
rnacentral:rRNA from 1 species